rnacentral:rRNA from 1 species
AACGAACGCUGGCGGCAUGCCUAACACAUGCAAGUCGAACGAGACCUUCGGGUCUAGCGGCGCACGGGUGCGUAACGCGUGGGAACCUGCCCUUAGGUUCGGAAUAACUCCCCGAAAGGGGUGCUAAUACCGGAUAAUGUCUUCGGACCAAAGAUUUAUCGCCUUUGGAUGGGCCCGCGUUGGAUUAGCUAGUUGGUAGGGUAAAAGCCUACCAAGGCGACGAUCCAUAGCUGGUCUGAGAGGAUGAUCAGCCACACUGGGACUGAGACACGGCCCAGACUCCUACGGGAGGCAGCAGUGGGGAAUAUUGGACAAUGGGCGAAAGCCUGAUACAGCAAUGCCGCGUGAGUGAUGAAGGCCUUAGGGUUGUAAAGCUCUUUUACCCGGGAUGAUAAUGACAGUACCGGGAGAAUAAGCUCCGGCUAACUCCGUG